CGACUGGAAACGGUCGCUAAUACCCCAUAUGCUGGGAAGUGAAAAGGUGAAUUCCGCCUGAGGAUGAGCUCGCGUCUGAUUAGCUAGUUGGUGGGGUAAGAGCCUACCAAGGCGACGAUCAGUAGCUGGUCUGAGAGGAUGAUCAGCCACACUGGGACUGAGACACGGCCCAGACUCCUACGGGAGGCAGCAGUGGGGAAUUUUCCGCAAUGGGCGAAAGCCUGACGGAGCAAGACCGCGUGGGGGAAGAAGGUCUGUGGAUUGUAAACCCCUUUUGACCGGGAAGAAUACUGACGGUACCGGUCGAAUCAGCCUCGGCUAACUCCGUGCCAGCAGCCGCGGUAAUACGGAGGAGGCAAGCGUUAUCCGGAAUUAUUGGGCGUAAAGCGUCCGCAGGUGGUUUAUCAAGUCAGCUGUUAAAGCGUGGGGCUUAACUCCAUACCGGCAGUUGAAACUGAUAGGCUAGAGUGCGAUAGGGGCAAGGGGAAUUCCCAGUGUAGCGGUGAAAUGCGUAGAUAUUGGGAAGAACACCGGUGGCGAAAGCGCCUUGCUGGGUCUGCACUGACACUGAGGGACGAAAGCUAGGGGAGCGAAAGGGAUUAGAUACCCCCU
rnacentral:rRNA from 1 species